ACUCCUACGGGAGGCAGCAGUGGGGAAUAUUGCACAAUGGGCGCAAGCCUGAUGCAGCCAUGCCCGCGUGUGUGAGAAGGCCUUCGGGUUGUAAGCACUUUCAGUCGUGAGGAAGGUAGUGUAGUUAAUAGCUGCAUUAUUUGACGUUAGCGACAGAAGAAGCACCGGCUAACUCCGUGCCAGCAGCCGCGGUAAUACGGAGGGUGCGAGCGUUAAUCGGAAUUACUGGGCGUAAAGCGCAUGCAGGUGGUUUGUUAAGUCAGAUGUGAAAGCCCGGGGCUCAACCUCGGAAUAGCAUUUGAAACUGGCAGACUAGAGUACUGUAGAGGGGGGUUAGAAUUUCAGGUGUAGCGGUGAAAUGCGUAGAGAUCUGAAGGAAUACCGGUGGCGAAGGCGGCCCCCUGGACAGAUACUGACACUCAGAUGCGAAAGCGUGGGGAGCAAACA
rnacentral:rRNA from 1 species